UAUCCUGGAAAAUCAGCAGAAUCGUAACUGCAGAAAUUUCCCUGAGUCAGCAUGGGAUGCUGAUGUGCUCGCGGUCACACCUUUGGUUUUGUUCUGCAACUCAGAAUUGGGUUUCCCCGCUGUGGCUGAUGCAGUUGGCUUUGGUUACAGUGCAAUAAAUUCAAAUAAACAUUUAUGAGGACUAUGUUUCACCUUGGAUAUGAACCUGAGGCCCAAGAUGGGGCUGAGGCCCAAGAUGGAGCCUGCAAGUUCUUGUCAACAACCACAAAGUGACAACCAUGAAGAAAAAGCUGAGAAGCUGAUGGUGGAAGAGGGAAAAGAGCAGCAUUGUGGAGCCACCACAUCAGCCCUGGACCCCCAACGCUGGACUUCCAGAAAUGUUAUCACAUGCUGACACGUGAAAGCUUCAGAGUCUGGGGAGAGAGACAGACAUGUGAUAUCAUUCCCAUGAAACUGCUAUGUAGAGUCGCAGAACCUGUUGAGGGUAUUACAUGAAGACUUACUGUACGAAAGAACGGGCAAAGUGAUUCAAUGUUGCCAGCUUUGAAGGUAGAGAAGGGGCUGUGAGUCAAAGAAUGUGA